ensembl:lncRNA
GACUCCUGGGUCUCUCUCAUUUAGAAGAAGUCCUUCCUGAAAUUCUCUCCCAGUUGUGGGCCAGAUAAAAUAGAAAACAAGUCAGAGCUGCAGCCCUAUAUCCAUCCUUACCCUCAGGACCCACAGGUGCUCCUGGAACCUUGACCAGCACAAUGAGGCCCAUUUUCUGAAAUCACAAGCCCAUGUGGGCAAUGAUUGGCUGGCCUGGCUGUCCUGCCCUUUGUACAUGUUCGUGGGUUUAGGUGUAGAUAAACCCACUCAAGUGCCUGCAGCUGUACUUGAUGCCGUCUUUUCUGCCUAGACGUUGCAGCGCCUGUUUGGCAGAGGUGAGGAAGCAAGAAAACAGGCAGUGGGAGCAGGACAGGAGAAGUAACUCAGGUAAGAAAGUGGGAAGCUUCCAGAAGAUCACCCAGGCUAGGACCAUCCUGCCUGACCUACAGGAGCCAACUCGAAGAUCACCACAGGCCCAUAUAGAUGGGUACAGACGGUGGCCACACACAUGGAGUCUAUAGAGAAUGAGGCCCUUGGAGUCACCUGGAACAGAUGAAGGCCUGGCUUCAUCAGCUUGACAUGUUGGAUCAUAGUUCCCUGACAAAGGAUCAAACCUGUAUCCCCUGUAGUGGAAGUGCAGAGUCUUAACCACUGGACUGCCAGAAACAAACAUUAUGUUCUUGACAGCAUCUCAUUGCAGACGAGUCAAUGAUUCCCAGAAGCUACAAUAAUUACACAGGCACCUACAAUGUGAAGUAGUAAACAGUGAGGUGUAAUAUGGGAGCUAGAGCAGCUGAUAAACAAAUCAAAGGCCUGAAGACAUCUGGAACACAGAGGGAAAACAAAAGGAGACUCUUACCACUGUCUUCAAAUAUUUCAAGGCUAAAGUAUGAAAGAAACACUGACCUUUUUUCUGUGUCCUGAGAACAGAAAUUUAAUUUUAAAUGAAUUAACUUUUAAAAGCCGCAGGAAGCUAAUUUCAGACCAACAACAAUAAAAGAAUUUUCUUUUUUUUUCUCCAGUGUCAAUG